GGCAGCAAGGCGGGAGGCUAGGGGUCUCCCAUCCGCAAAUCCCCUUCAGGCGGGCCAAUACCGGCUGCGUGUUACAAAGUUGUGCAAGGCCUAGGCGGAAGCGUUGAGGUUUCGCCUCUAGUGGUAGUUGCAUAUUCGAACCGGGCCAGGCCGGAAGGAGCAACCCUAAGUCUAUGUUUACUAUGCUCUAGAGAUACGGGGCUGAGCAGAUGUCUAGAUCACCUUGCAUCGCUUUGUAUAGCAAGGCCGGUGCUGCC
rnacentral:SRP_RNA from 1 species